rnacentral:rRNA from 1 species
UACGUAGGCAGCAAGCGUUGUUCGGAAUUACUGGGCGUAAAGCGCACGUAGGCGGCUUUGUAAGUUAGAGGUGAAAGCCCGGGGCUCAACCCCGGAAUUGCCUUUAAGACUGCAUCGCUAGAAUUGUGGAGAGGUAAGUGGAAUUCCGAGUGUAGAGGUGAAAUUCGUAGAUAUUCGGAAGAACACCAGUGGCGAAGGCGACUUACUGGACACAUAUUGACGCUGAGGUGGCGAAAAGCGUGGGGAGCAAACAGG